GACGAACGCUGGCGGCGUGCUUAACACAUGCAAGUCGAGCGGAAAGGCCCUUCGGGGUACUCGAGCGGCGAACGGGUGAGUAACACGUGAGUAACCUGCCCCAGACUUUGGGAUAACCCUCGGAAACGGGGGCUAAUACCGGAUACGACACAGCUUCGCAUGGGGUCUGUGUGGAAAGUUUUUCGGUUUGGGAUGGGCUCGCGGCCUAUCAGCUUGUUGGUGGGGUGAUGGCCUACCAAGGCGACGACGGGUAGCCGGCCUGAGAGGGCGACCGGCCACACUGGGACUGAGACACGGCCCAUACUCCUACGGGAGGCAGCAGUGGGGAAUAUUGCACAAUGGGCGGAAGCCUGAUGCAGCGACGCCGCGUGAGGGAUGACGGCCUUCGGGUUGUAAACCUCUUUCAGCAGGGACGAAGCGUAAGUGACGGUACCUGCAGAAGAAGCGCCGGCCAACUACGUG
rnacentral:rRNA from 1 species